rnacentral:rRNA from 1 species
UCCUACGGGAGGCAGCAGUGGGGAAUUUUGGACAAUGGGGGCAACCCUGAUCCAGCCAUUCCGCGUGAGUGAAGAAGGCCUUCGGGUUGUAAAGCUCUUUCGCAAGGGAAGAAAACUUAUGAUCGAAUAAAUCAUGAGGUUGACGGUACCUUGAUAAGAAGCACCGGCUAACUACGUGCCAGCAGCCGCGGUAAUACGUAGGGUGCGAGCGUUAAUCGGAAUUACUGGGCGUAAAGCGUGCGCAGGCGGUUUUGUAAGUCGGAUGUGAAAUCCCCGGGCUCAACCUGGGAACUGCGUUCGAAACUGCAAGGCUAGAAUGUGUCAGAGGGGGGUAGAAUUCUACGUGUAGCAGUGAAAUGCGUAGAGAUGUGGAGGAAUACCAAUGGCGAAGGCAGCCCCCUGGGAUAACACUGACGCUCAUGCACGAAAGCGUGGGGAGCAAACAGGAUUAGAUACCCUGGUAGUCCACGCCCUAAACGAUGUCAACUAGUUGUUGGUAGAGUAAAAUCUAUGAGUAACGUAGCUAACGCGUGAAGUUGACCGCCUGGGGAGUACGGUCGCAAGAUUAAAACUCAAAGGAAUUGACGA